rnacentral:lncRNA from 1 species
AGGUCCUUCCAUUGUGACACCUCCCAAGGACAUCUGGAAUAUCACUGGCGCCCAGGUGUACUUGAGCUGUGAGGUCAUCGGAAUCCCAACCCCUGUCCUCAUCUGGAACAAGGUCAGUGACACAGAUUUCAGGAAGACAUCCUCGACUGACAGUCUCCCCUCUCACUGUGCAAUGAUGGCAGUAAUCUAAAACCUUUGGCCUCUUCUAUUCCCUGCAGCUCCUCAAAUGUGGUGAAGCCUUGUGGUCAUCUUGCAGACACCUCGCCUGGCUCUGUUGAACAAUUUUACUGACCUCAAAAAUAGUCUCUGCUUUUGUGAUCAUUGCCUGAGAAGGGAGCCUUAGGAACUAGAAGACUAUAAUGCUGAACACACUAACCCACCCUCUGAGUGUGUGCAUGUGUGAGUGUGAGCAUGAGUGUGUGUGUUCCCAUCGGAGACAGUAUAGCAUAGUGGGUAAGGAUGUGAGUCUCUUAACCAGGUUGUUGGAGUUCUAAGCCUGGGCUUUCUUAGCCUGAGCAGUAUUAACAUUUUGAACCAGAUGAUUCUUUGUUGUGGGGGCUGCCCUGUGCAUCAUCCCUGACCCCCUAUCUACCAAAUGCCAAUGGCACCCUCCCCAAAGUUGUGGGAAAUGUCUCCUGGGGGAAAAAUCGCCUAGAAUGAGAAUGAGUGCUUUAAACCUCAGUUUCCUCCUGUCUGGUGAAGACAGCAUAUAAUUUCUGUAAAGGUUGCAUAGAGUAAUGCAGGUAAAAUUACUUGGCUUGUUAUCAGAUACAUAGCUAGAAUUCAGUUGAUGGUAGCUACUGUUCCUGGAAAUAUAUCUCUUCAAGUGGCAUUAUCUUGUGUAACUGUCUUCACAUUUGAAGGACAGCAUAUUCUCAGCAAGUCUGUAGAAGGCAAAAGAAAAUACUCAUUUGCCAGAUCAAAUAAUACUUCACAGUUAUACUGUACAUUAUUUUUCGUUAUGUCCCUUUUUGUGCAUUUUGCCUCGGUUAAGCCUCACGACAGCACUAUGGAGUAAAUAUCAUCAAACUUGUGCCAACAAAAAGGAAAUCUAGUUUAAGUAAAAAGGUAUAACCAGAUACUCCUUUUUGGCUGGUUUACUUCUCCAGCAAGCUCUAAGGUGGUCUCUCUUGAUUAUUUUGUUUGCUGGUAUCUGACCAGAGGAUCAACUUCUAGAAUUCCAGGCGGAUUGUGGCUCCUGUGGUCAGAACUCUUUAUGUUGCAAGUUGUAGAAACUCACUUCAAACUACUUUGGGCAAGAAAAAGGGAGGGUGAGGAGUGGUGAUUCCAGCCUCUGGGACAGCUAGAUCCAGGUACGCAAGUGGUCAGGACUCUUCGCUCUCAGUGUAUUGGUCUCAUUUUUUUUCUUUUACCUCAAGAAGCUUCCUCCACACCUUAGGCCGCAUUGUCACUGGCAGCUCCAAGCUCUUGUUAUUAUCACAGCUUGAAGACUCCAGAGGAAAGAAAGGGCUCCCCCUCUCCCUGCUGCAUUGUAAAUCCCAUUGAAGGACUCAGGUCGGGUCACCUGCUGCCCUCUGGCUCCCCCAGGUGGCCAGAGGGGUGCAUCACCCCCCCCCCCCCACAAGGGAACCAUCCCGUUGGGAGGGAAGGGUGAUUCCAAAAAGUGCCUGGGAGUGGGGGUGGGCAGAGACACCACCAGCUAUAUUACAACUAACUUUUACAGCUGAAUUAUACCUCCAUAAAUUAUACCUCCAUAAAUUUCUUUUUGGAAGGGGAGCAAGGAGCAAGCAGUGAAGAGCAAAAAUGCAGCCAGUGAAUGUGCACCUCCUGACAAAGCUGCUGCUGCUCCUCGUUGCUUAUUUGGAGGCUUUGUUCAGAGGGUGGAGAAGCGGAGGAACAACUUUUCCAAAGAGUAUCCAUAAAAAGCUCUGUUGCAGUUCUCUAGGGAUUAUACAACGAGAAGCCAGGGUGACCCAAGUGUCUGGAGUCUAUGACCUUAUUGACAAAUCUUGGCAGAGAAUGAUUUCCUCAGUCCUUGCUCUGCCCCACCCCAGCUAACAUACAUACAUACCAGGGGAAUAAAUCUGCCUUGGAAUCUUUUCCUUUAAGCUUUUGGGAUAAUAUGGAGCAGAGCCCAUGGGCUUCCCUGAGGAUUUGUGGCUGGAGGUGGGGGGCAGAGGAGACUUGCCAGAAACUAGCAAAAACCCAGCUGCCAGGCUCUGCUGAAUUUUCUGUACCUUCUUAAUGUAAUUUGCCACAUGCAUGACCUAAAGCAAUGUUUUUUUAGGCCGUGACCCAUCAGUGAGUGUUCAGUUCAAUGUUAGGGAUCACAACCAGCAGAUUCUUUUUUAACUUUUUUCUCUCAGCGUGGUUGCUUGCUUGCUUGCUCUCUUUCUUUUUUCUUUUUUCUUUUCUUCUCUUUUCUUUUCUUUUCUUUUCUUUUCUUUUUCUUAAUGUGUAUUUAUUUUUUGAGAGAGAGCACAAGAAAGGGAUGGGCAGAGAGAGGAAGACACAGAAUCUGAAGCAGGCUCCAGGCUCUGAGAUGUCAGCACAGAGCCCGAUACACGGCUCGAACUCACGAACUGUGAGAUCAUGACCUGAGCCAAAGUCAGACACUCGGCCAAGACACCCAGGUGCCCCAGAUUCUUUAAAAAUAAAAAGAAGAACAGAAAAUAUCCUAAGGCACAUCGAUCACAUUUAGUAGGGGUAUCAUUUCAUACAACUUUUCUUUUGUAUAUUCCAGAUCCCAACGCAGAAUAUACUUCUAUGGGCCAUGUCACCGACCCAAAAAAUUAAAUAGGCCGUUUUUUCCCCACUCUCCCUGUAACCAGACUGUUAAGAAUACAAUAAAAAAGGUCACGUUCAAAUUCAAUUUAAGCAUAGAAGUGAUUUUUUAUUAUAAACGAAUAUUAGAAUCUCAGUUGUUAAGCUGAAGUUCAAAGAAGGUAGCAUGUCUUUCUUGCUCAAGAAUUCUCAGCAAGAGCAGAGCUGACAGAACAAGCCUGCUGCUCUCCAGACACUCAAGUAGUACCUCUUGUGGCUGCCACAGCCCAGUGAACAGUCUGUACUUUUCUGCCCUGUAGUUAUCAUAUGAUAUUAACAAGCCCCAUACUUUUUCACAAACCUCCAGCCUACAAACAUUCCAGGAGCAAUAUUUUGAUAUGGGGAAAUGAACUGAAAUAGCCAUAUUUCAGGCUGAAAUAGCCUUAACCCAGGUAAGUCAGAGAGAUGGUGCUUACAGAGAAGAUAAAUCAUCUAGAAUUCCUUCCAAACACUGGGAGUUUCUGAGACUGAGGCUCUCUAUUCAUUUAUUUUCCUGCCUUGAGAUUUCUCCAGAUUUGGGCUUGCAAAACCUAGAAUAUUUUUUUUAAUUAAAAACAGUAAGGGGGUGCUUAGGUGGCUCAGUCAGUUAACUGACUUUGGCUCAGGUCAUGCAUGGUCUCGCACAUAUCUCUGCUGUCAGUGUGGAGCUUGCUUUGGAUCCUCUGUCUCCCUCUCUUUGCCUCUCCUCUGCCUCGCACGUGUUCUCUCUCUCUCUCUCUCUCAAAAAUAAACAUUAAAAAAAUUUUUUUUAAAUAAUAAGUGAUAAUGGUAAUAAGGAGAAGCUCUCCAAAGAUGUAAAAAGAGAGUUCAAAAUCUCCCUUUUUCCUUCCACUCCCUAAAAUAACCAGUGUGAACUGCCCUGGUUUUAUCUUUCUAUACCCUCACUUGUGCCCAUACAUACACCCACAUAUGCUCAGUAUAUGGAGUGAGGUAGGAAUAUAGUGAGCAUAUUACUAUGAAAUUUGCUUUUCUCAAUAAAUACUUUGUGGGCAUCCCUCUAGGUCUGCUUCUCAGCAACUACAAGAUAUUCCAAGUAUGGAUCUCCGUAAUUACUAAAUCAUUCCUGUAUUGUUUCUGUGGUUUCCAAUUUUUGACCACGUUAAAUAAUUCAACUUUAAAAAAAUUUUUUUUUCAACGUUUAUUUAUUUUUGGGACAGAGACAGACAGAGCAUGAACGGGGGAGGGGCAGAGAGAGAGGGAGACACAGAAUCGGAAACAGGCUCCAGGCUCCGAGCCAUCAGCCCAGAGCCUGACGCGGGGCUCGAACUCACGGACCGCGAGAUCGUGACCUGGCUGAAGUCGGACGCUUAACCGACUGCGCCACCCAGGCGCCCCAAUUCAACUUUAAACAUGAGUCUAUAUAUAUCCUAUAUGUAAGUCCUUCCCCCCGCCUCGAUAGGAUAGAGUCCCCCCAAAAGAUACAUGACUAUGUCAAAAGAUUUAAUGCUAGUGUUAAUAGACAAUGUCAGAUUACUUUCUAAAUAGAUUGUAGUAGUUCACACUCCCCCAGUAGGGAUGGGUGCCAUUUUCCUGCAUCCUUACCAGCAUUGAAUAUUGCCCUACUUUUUUUUUAUUAUUAUUUUCUAUUUUAGAGAGAAAGAGUGCAAGAGGGGGAGAGAGAGAAUCCCAAGCAGGCUCCAUGCUUGGUACGCAGCCCAACAUGGGGCUCAAUCCCACGACCCUGGGACAUGAUCUGAGCUGAAAUCAAGAGUUGGACGCUCACCCAACCGAGCCACCCGGGCACCCACUUUUUUAAUUUUUGUUAAUGAUGGGUAAAAGAAUUCCUUUCAUUACUGCUUUGAUUUCCUUGACUACAUUGAGAAUAUUUUUUUUCACACUGUAGUUUUGUGGGCUUUGUUUUUUGUUUUGAGAGAGAGCACAAGCUGAGGAAAGGGACACAGAGAGAGAGAGAGAGAGAGAGAGAGAGAAUCCCAAGCAGGCUCCAUGCUCAGUGUGGAGCUGGACACUCCCUGGGAUCAUGACCUGAGCCAAAAUCAAGAAUUGGACACUGAACCAACUGAACCACCCAGAUGUCCCUUUCACAUUGUAGUAUUUAAAUAUUUUUGGGGCGCCUGGGUGGCGCAGUCAGUUAAGCGUCCGACUUCAGCCAGGUCACGAUCUCGCGGUCCGUGAGUUCGAGCCCCGCGUCGGGCUCUGGGCUGAUGGCUCAGAGCCUGGAGCCUGUUUCCGAUUCUGUGUCUCCCUCUCUCUCUGCCCCUCCCCCGUUCAUGCUCUGUCUCUCUCUGUCCCAAAAAUAAAUAAAUGUUGAAAAAAAAAUUUUUUAAUAUUUUUGUGGUUCUACAAUUUUUUUAAAUAUGUGUUUUAUUUUCAUUACUGUAUAGUUAACAGUGUUCUAUUAGUUUCAGGUAUACAAUAUAGUGAUUCAGCAAUUCCACACAUCACCCAGUGUUCCUCACAAGUGCACUCCUUAAUCCCCAUCACCUAUUUCAACCAUCUCCUCCUCCACCUCCCCUCUGGUAACUGUUCCCUGUAGUUAAGAGUCUGUUUGUUGAUUGGUCUUUUUUUCCCCCUUUGGUUUCUUAAAUUCCACAUAUGAGUGAAAUUGUAUGGUGUUUGUCUUUCUCUGACUUAUUUCACUUAGCAUUAUACUCUUUAGCUUUAUGUUGUUGCAAAUGGCAAGAUUGCAUUCUUUGUAUGGCUGAAUAAUAAUACUCCAUUGUGUAUAUAUACCCCAUCAUCUUUAACCAUUUAAUAAUGGACACUUGGGCUGCUUCUAUAAUUUGGCUGUUGCACAUAUUGCUGCUGUAAACAUAAAGGUGCGUGUAUCCCUUUGAAUUAGCAUUCUGUAUUUUUUGGGUUAAUAAUCAGUGCAAUUACUGGAUCAUAGGGUAGUUCUAUUUUUAACUUUUUGAGGAACUUCCAUACUGUUUUCCAUAGUGGCUGCACCAGUUUGUGUUCCCACCAACAGUGCAUGAGUAUUCCUUUUUCUCCACAUCCUCGUCAACACUUGUUUCUUGCUGUUUUGAUUUUAGCCAUUCUGACAGGUGUGAAGUGGUAUCAUUGUGGUUUUGAUUUGCAUUUCCCUUAUGAGUGAUGUUGAGCACAUUUUCAUGUGUCUGUUGGCCAUCUGGAUGUCUUUUUUAGAGAAAUGUCUGGUCAUGUCUUCUGCCCAGUUUUAAUUGCAUUGUUUUUUGGUCUUUAUAUAUUUUAUAUAUAAGGUCUUUACAUACUUUGAAGAGAAUAUUUUCAUGUUUGUGUUUUAUAUGAAUUGCCUAUUCAAAUAUCCUUUACCCAUUUUUUAUUUUUGAGAGAGUGAGCGUGAGCGGGGGAGGGGCAGGGGAGUGGGGGAUAGAGGAUCCAAAGCAUGCUCUAUGCUGUUAGCACAGAGCCUGAUGUGCGAGUCAGACUCACAAACCGUGAGAUCAUGACCUGAGCCGAAGUCCAUCACUUAAUCAACUGAGCCACCCAGGCACGCGCCCCCCCCCCCCCCCCCCCCCGCUCCUUUACCCAUUUUCCUGUUGGGUUGUUAUUAUUAGUCUGUGGCUUUUUGUACAUGAGAGAUAAUGACCAACUUUCUCACAUAUUACAAAUAUUUUUUUCUUAGACAUUUUGUCUUUAAUGGGUUACAGUGGCUGGAGAUCUGAAAGUUUCAACAGACGUGUAUUUAUUUCAUCAUAAACCUCUUCAGAAACUUCACCAAAAAGGCACAGCAAAUAUGUUCCAUACUGCAUAAAUGUCCUUUAAUGGUUCCCUGAAAUUCAGUGAAGCUUCAAAAUGUAUUAACCUGUAAGAAUCAGACUAAUCCACCCUACUUCCAAAGUCAUUGGCACUUUUUUAUUAUUAAUUGCUUAUCUGCAAUAGGAUUCAUGAAGACGUUGUUACAGCUAAAAUCCAAGCAAGAAAGGACUUCCUGGGUCUUCCUGAUUCUCUCCUAGCUGACCCUUUAUGGUGAGCAGGACUGCUAGCCAGUUUUUUGUGCCUAGAUUUCGAAGGGUCAAACUCUGAAGCACUUCCAGCCUAUUGCACAUCUGUAGAAUUGUUUUAGAAGCCACUUUUUUUCAGCCUGCAUACUUUUUUCCCCCCCAAAUUAGGGAACACAUUUAUCAGUGAACUCCCCUUACAUAAGGGAGCAGGGGAGUAUGCCAUAUAAAAAAUUCACUACGUAGUAAUUCUUGACAUUCUACAGGUUUUCUAUGUGGUGUGUACCUUUUUACAAUAUAUUAAAAUAUGAGUUCCAUUAAACAUUCAUUUUCUAAUCCAAUACUUAACAAGAACAAUUUCUCUGUACAUAGUGAACCAGGUUUCCUCACAGAACACUCUCCCUAAGAGUGACAUACUUUGAGGACCAACAGGUUAGUUGUGGAGAUUCAGUAAUUCAGGCAGUAGUGUUUUUUUGCUCUGGUCACACACAAAGCUCUUAAAGAACCCUAAAAUUCAGUAAAGACCAGAGAUCUAUUACUUUGGCCAUUAAAUCAAAUUAAUACUUACACCAUUAUUAAAGCCAUUUUUAAAUAUUUCAAAAUCUGCACAAAAACAAAAAAAUCUGCACUAGCAUGAACUGUUUUGCCAGCUACUUGAGAAAUGGAAGGAAAAAAGAUGCCUGUUCAUCUGUUUUGUCUUUCUAGCGCUUAUAUGUGAAAAACACUAAGAUACCUGGUUUUCUCUAAGUCGCAAUAUGGGGAAAUCCAAGGGGGGGAAAGCAAACAAGCAAAAUCCAGGCAUUCCGAAUCAGUAAUGCUAGAUACUUUUUAGAGUAGGAGUUGGCCAAGGUCCCUCGUGGUUUGCAGAGCCCUGGCCCUGGUGUCACACCACAGAAAAAGAGUAGGUUUGAAGUCGAGACCAGAGUGACAGCACGUGGUAAGCGUGGGAUCACGCAGGAGAACAGCAGCACUAAUGUGGAGGGUUCGUACUGUAAGGUGGUCUUUUUUGGCUUAGAAUUUGCUUAAUUAUAAAAGAAAAAAAUGAAAGCUACCUGUGAAAUUGUAGAUCCUUUUUUCUAAUUAGAGGUAGUAACAUCAAGCUAGCUCUUAAAGGUGGCCUGGGAUGGAAUAAACAAACAUUACUUUAUGUAUCUGUGUGAUUUUUUUAAACCCAUCAUUAUCAUACACCUUAAAAUAUUUGUAUUCUGUGACUCAAGCAAUUCCACUUCUCCAAAUUUCUGCUAAAUCUAUAUGCACAGAAGGGUUAUAAGUAAAUUUUACUUUUCCGUAUAUUUUUAUGUAUUUUCCAGAGUUUAUAUAAUGAACACAGUUCAGGAGGGGGAAAAUUAGGACAGUGUUCAUUAUUGCCCUCAAACCAAGGUGCAUGUCUUCUUAACCCAUCCCUGUUCUCACCAUGACACACACGGGGGUAGGCAGCUUUUGUCAGGUCUUUAGUAAACCAUUUGAUGAACCCUUGGCCCUCAGAACAAAAGGAAUGAUAUUGGCUUUGGACUCGACUGAUUUUCCAUUUCUGUAGUGGUUGCAGGACCUGGGCUCUUGUAUAAGGUCCCAAGAAUCAGACCUAGCACUUGGUGACACAGUUUGUCAAACAUGGUGUGGCAAGCAAGAAAAAACUCAGCAAAGAAAAACAGAAUUUAUGAGGGCAUGAGUGAAUGAUGGUAGCCAGUGGCAGGAAAGUAUGACGGUGUGUAUUCCCCCAAGCAUGCAGAAAAAUAAUUUAAAAUACAAAGGGGCACCAGAUGGCUCAAAUGGCCAUCUUGGCUCAGGUCAUGAUCUCACUGUUCCCAAAUUCUAGCCCUACAUCGGGCUCUGGUCUUGACAGCUCAGAGUCUGGAGCCUGCUUCAGAUUCUAUGUCUCCCUCUCUCUCUGCCCCUCCCCCGCUCACGCUCUGUCUCUCCCCAAAAAUAAACAUUAAAAAAUAAAAUAUAGGGGCGCCUGGGUGGCUCAGUCAGUUGAGCGUCCGACUUCGGCUCAGGUCAUGAUCUCGCGGUCCGUGAGUUCGAGCGCCGCGUCGGGCUCUGUGCUGACAGCUCAGAGCCUGGAGCCUGUUUCAGAUUCUGUGUCUCCCUCUCUCUCUCUGACCUUCCCCCAUUCAUGCUCUGUCUCUGUGUCUCAAAAAUGAAUAAAUGUUAAAAAAAAAAAAUUAAAAAAAAAAAUAUAUAAACUUAGAGGGAAACUUACAGGAGAAAAUAAAAGAAGAACUAUAUGUAAGUAUUAAGGAAAGGGUAAUAUGGAAAUUGCUGGGUUUAAUCCAGUUAGAAAGUCUGAUGUAUGCCCUGUACAAUUCUAAGAAUGUUGAUCAUGUUCCAAGCUGAUAAAUCAAUGCAGAAAGCCCAACAGUAUUUCCUUUUGUUUUUGCAGGUAAAAAGGGGUAACUAUGGAGUUCAAAGGACAGAACUCUUGCCUGGUGACCGGGACAACCUGGCUAUUCAGACACGGGGUGGCCCAGAAAAGCAUGAAGUCACUGGCUGGGUGCUGGUGAGUACAAAGAACUGGCAAGGAUUUCAUUCUUAGGAUUAGACACUGCAAACCUGGCAAAGGUGCCAGAUGUCCUGCCCGGGCUGAAAGAAUUGGCCCUGCCACCGUCUUUGCAAUGGCCCUACUAGGAGCCUGCUAUUCCUCUUUCAGAGGUAACUCAAAAAAAAAAAAAAAAAAAAAAGAGUUGAGGUGGUUUGAAUGUUUUGGAAAUAACCAACAAAUAAAUGAGAACUAAUUUUUUCUCUUAAGAAUUCAAAGCAGGGGCGCCUGACUGGCUGAGUCAGUAGAGUAUGUGACUCUUGAUCUCCGGGUUGUGAGUUCAACCCCACGGUGGGCUAGAGCUUACUUUAAAAAAAAAAGAAGAAAGAAAUUCAAAGCAAAAUCCUCACAGGAAACUAAAUGGCCCGAGCAUUAGUUAAUCAAUUAUUAACUUUACUUGACGUGUGAUACUGCUAGAUAGAACUUAUACACUCUGUCAAGGUCUUCCUCAAACUAGUAUGUGUACCUGUUGGACAGCUCUUUACCUCUGCAGGGUGAUCAGAAGUUGUCCAUGGUGUGCCCUCAGAGCGUGAAUCCUCCUAGCAGAACACAAAGAGCAGCUCAGUCCCCCAGCACAGCACUGGUGCUAUUUCUAGCAGUCUCUUUACUAUUCAUCUUAAGAAAGAAUGAGCUGAAGCCACUGGGAAAAGAGAGGACUGCCACAGAGGAACUAAACAUCCUUUCUCCUUCACAGGUAUCUCCUCUCAGUAAGGAAGAUGCUGGAGAAUAUGAGUGCCAUGCAUCCAAUUCCCAAGGACAGGCUUCAGCAUCGGCAAAAAUUACAGUGGUUGAUGCCUUACAUGAAAUACCAGUGAGAAAAGGUAAGUAACAAAUCUUACAACCAUUUAAAAAGAACUCGUGCUUUUGUUUAAAGAGAACCAAGGCCCUUUAAAAAGGGCUAAUGCUUUUGUUUAAUAACAGAACCAAGAAUGAAAACAUCAGACAUAGCUCUUACUGAAAUUUGUAUGUUCGUUAUCCACAAAAGCAUGCUACCAAAAUGUAGAGCACGUGGCUAUAAAACAACAUCUGGAUGCCUAUGGAACACUACUGUUAGGACUUAGGUGCUUCACCUUAUCUUACAUGUAAGAGUUAAAACUCAAAUUUGAAGGGAAUCACUUCUAUUUCCCAUAACUUUCUAUCCACGUCGCAUUUUUUCCUUGGUGUUGUGACUAUUACGUUAAACUUCCAUUUAAAAGUAAACGAUUGUGGGCAAUUCUGGUUCUUCACUUUGAGAUUUUAUAAG